GCUUUUCCGCCGGCGACCGGCGCACGGGUGCGGAACGCGUAUGGAACCUGCCCCUGUCAGGGGAAUAGCCCAGGGAAACUUGGAUUAAUGCCCCAUGGUACCGCGAUAUCGCAUGAUAUUGCGGUUAAAGAUUUAUCGGACAGGGAUGGCCAUGCGUACCAUUAGUUAGUUGGUGGGGUAACGGCCCACCAAGGCAGCGAUGGUUAGGGGCCCUGAGAGGGGGAUCCCCCACACUGGUACUGAGACACGGACCAGACUCCUACGGGAGGCAGCAGUGAGGAAUAUUGGACAAUGGGCGGGAGCCUGAUCCAGCCAUGCCGCGUGCAGGAUGACGGCCCUAUGGGUUGUAAACUGCUUUUAUACGGGAAGAAAUGCGCCCACGUGUGGGCGUCUGACGGUACCGUAAGAAUAAGGACCGGCUAACUCCGUGCCAGCAGCCGCGGUAAUACGGAGGGUCCGAGCGUUAUCCGGAAUCAUUGGGUUUAAAGGGUCCGUAGGCGGGCCUGUAAGUCAGGGGUGAAAGUUUGUGGCUCAACCAUAAAAUUGCCUUUGAUACUGCAGGUCUUGAGUCAUGGUGGGGUCGCCGGAACAUGUGGUGUAGCGGUGAAAUGCAUAGAUAUCACAUAGAACACCGAUCGCGAAGGCAGGUGGCCAACCAU
rnacentral:rRNA from 1 species